rnacentral:rRNA from 1 species
UACGGAGGGUGCAAGCGUUAUCCGGAUUCACUGGGUUUAAAGGGUGCGUAGGUGGGCAAGUAAGUCAGUGGUGAAAUCUCCGGGCUUAACCCGGAAACUGCCAUUGAUACUAUUUGUCUUGAAUACUGUGGAGGUCAGCGGAAUAUGUCAUGUAGCGGUGGAAAUGCUUAGAUAUGACAUAGAACACCAAUUGCGAAGGCAGCUGGCUACACAAAUAUUGACACUGAGG